AACGAACGCUGGCGGCAUGCCUAACACAUGCAAGUCGAACGAGACCUUCGGGUCUAGUGGCGCACGGGUGCGUAACGCGUGGGAAUCUGCCCUUGGGUUCGGAAUAACAGUUGGAAACGACUGCUAAUACCGGAUGAUGACGUAAGUCCAAAGAUUUAUCACCCAGGGAUGAGCCCGCGUAGGAUUAGCUAGUUGGUGGGGUAAAGGCCUACCAAGGCGACGAUCCUUAGCUGGUCUGAGAGGAUGAUCAGCCACACUGGGACUGAGACACGGCCCAGACUCCUACGGGAGGCAGCAGUGGGGAAUAUUGGACAAUGGGCGAAAGCCUGAUCCAGCAAUGCCGCGUGAGUGAUGAAGGCCUUAGGGUUGUAAAGCUCUUUUACCCGGGAUGAUAAUGACAGUACCGGGAGAAUAAGCCCCGGCUAACUCCGUG
rnacentral:rRNA from 1 species